GAUUCAGUUUUUGAUGCAUGUCUUAUUUGUGUUAUUGCUACUUCACGUGCCCCUGUGCUCCAUCGAUUUAGGGUUUUUUUCUCUCUUCUCAUACCAUUUUCAGAUUCAAGACGACGAUUCAGUGACAUAUGUAAUUCGGAGGAGCCCUAAAGCCUGGCCUCUGUUUGCCGGUUGAGCAGAUCCUCAAGGUUUGGACUAUUUAGAGGAGCUGGAAUGCUAACUAAGUGCUGUGCACAAAGAGGGGUAUUAUCACCGAGCUGUUCAUGUGUGAAUUUUUGCUAAAAGUACACUGGAACUUCUUCUCCAACGACGUGCCGAUUGCAAGGAUUCGUGGCCUGGAUUCUGGGAUAUCUCCAGUGCAGGUCAUGUAUCUGCUGGAGAUACAUCGCUAAUCACUGCCAGGCCCUGAAUCUCUUCCAAGUCAAGGAGCUUCGAUUUACAGAGAAGAUAGAUCUUACAAGUUGUGGCUUGAUGAAUGAUUCAGUUGGUGGAAUUCCAGGAAAUUUCACAUGAAGAUGUAUUUCAACGUGAAGAUGUAUCGGCGACUAUUACUAGCUAUUGCGGAGACAAACAAUUGCUCGAAUAGUCGGGUUAUAUUCAUGAAUUGGUGAUUGGUUUUAAUUUUUAUUAUUUUCUUUAAUGUUUAAAUGUAAUAACUUUCUUUUAAACUCAUACCUACAUAGAUGCCAAAUGCAUGAUAAUACCAAAUGUUUAAAUGUAAGAGCUUUCCUUAAUGUUUAAAUGAAGUUGCUUGAA